GACAUUGCACACAGGGUAGUCGUGGGGGCAGCAACUGUAGUGGUCCUCGCAGCAAGUGGCACCCUCCAGCGGGCAGCAUCCCCAUGCAAAGCAGUACUUUCCGUACUCAUAGAUGCAGCAGCAGGUGGUGCUCUCAGGGCAUUCAAAGUAGUUGUCACAAGCUGAGGGUUUUGGGGCAGGGGAUGGAGGAGAUGGACCGGGGUUAGGAGGGUUUUCGCCUGUCUUGGUUGGGUACGAGGGCUCUAUAGCUAUUCCACAGAUACCAGUCUUAGCUGCAAUGUUGCGCUCCAUCCUAAGAUACCCCUCCUCUCCCCAGCUUGAACCCCAGGAGUUC
rnacentral:lncRNA from 1 species